rnacentral:lncRNA from 1 species
CACUACAAGUCACCACCACCUCCACACUAUCACCAUAAGUCUCCACCUCCAUACCACUACAAGUCACCACCUCCACCAUCCCCUUCACCUCCUCCUCCUUAUGUCUACAAGUCUCCACACCUCCGUCACGUCACCUCUCUCAUACGUCUAUAAUCUCAACACACAUCUCAUCCCACUCUCCUUAUGUGUACAAUCUCACCACACAUCUCAUNNNNNNNNNNNNNNNNNNNNNNNNNNNNNNNNNNNNNNNNNNNNNNNNNNNNNNNNNNNNNNNNNNNNNNNNNNNNNNNNNNNNNNNNNNNNNNNNNNNNGUUGACAACAAGUGUGCUGGUGAAUAAUAAGGGUCUAGCAGAACCCUUCUUGUAAUCUGUUGUAAGCACUUAUUGUAUUACUUCUUUAAAGAGAUUAAUUGAAUCAAAUGAAAGUGAAGAACAUUAAUUUCAUGUACUUGUUAAUCUAGUAUAUGCCCCUAUGACUUUUGGGUUAAUUAGUUCUGUGCUUCUUUGUUGAAAAGUUAAUGCAUGAUAAUGCAUAUCACUUUAUCAUCGUUAUUAAAUAGUAAACAUGCAUGCAUUUUAUAAUAAAUUUGGUACCUGGAUGUUUCAAGUUGUAACCAAAGCUCAAUUGGCCAGAUACGAAAUCAAAUUUAAGAAUUGUUUAAUCUGAUAGUUGACGUGACUUACUGUUUAUGUUCAUAUGUUUGGGAAACAUUACUGCAAUUGAGUGGACAGAGAUAUGUUUAUGUCCAUUGGGCCUACUCUCGGAACUUAGCUGGCAUGAACAAAUUAAUAGUUGACUACUGGGCACUUAAACAUACCCAAAUUUUUUUAGAGGCUAUUGAUUUUGAGUAGGAAUCCCCGUUGGGUCCGGUCCCAGGCUUAAUCGGGAAGAUUUCGGGGUAAAAUUAGAGGCUGGUAUGUGAAUCUCUAAAUUUUUAAAAUUCCCUGUCAAGGAUGGUAUUGUCACUACAAAAAAAAAGUGGUAACAGUCACCAUUAUUUAGUGACAUUUGCUGGGGCGAUUAAAGGUUUUAGUCACUAAAAAAGUCUUUUUUGGUGACUUCAAAAAUGCCUUUUGUGACUAAAGCCUUUAGUCACCCCAACAAAUAUCACCAAAUAAUGGUCACUAUUGCCACUUUUGUUUUUUUGAGGUGUUAUCCCCUUCUCCAAACCCGGUCUAAUAAGGGAAAUAUUUAUUUGGGUAAAAAAACACUUUUGGCCACUAGGGUUAGAGUUGAAAACGAUUUUGGACAUGGAUCCGUUGUCCCUAUUUUUCAUGUCCCUCCAUGUCCCUUUUCUAAUUUCUUGACAAGUGUCCACCUACUUAACCCCAAACUAAUACUGUUAAUUUGUAAUAAAAUAUUUAAAAAACAUAAAAACUAAAAUCGAAAAACAAAAACCAAGCAGACACCACAACCCCGCCCCACCUCAGCAGCCCCCUGAGCCUCUCCCAUCUUCACCAUCGGCGAAGCAUCCCCUCUUAUUUGUCUCUCUUUCCUUCUUCUAUCUCACUGCCUCUCCUGAAUUUGUUCCUCUUUCCCUCCUCUUUCGUGGUGUGGGUGUGACGAGGAAUAGUGUUUCUAAGCAAUAAUAGUCAUAAUCUCAAAGUUUAAGUCAUAGUGUUUCUAAGCAAUAAUAGUCUUCAGUCACCAUUGAAUUCUACGAGGGUUUAGAUCAAAUCGGCAUCAACAAAAAUUAACAAAUAAUAUUUCAAGGGUUGUGUGACUUGCAACACUUCGUAGAAAAGAUUGGGACAAAAUUCAAAGGAGAGAUAUAUAUAUAUAUAUAUAUAGAGAGAGAGAGCUUCCAUUGAGGGAUCCCUCAAAUAACUUAUUUGAGGAAUACCCCUUGUAGGCCCCACUUCGAAUUGUAUCUCAUUCAUCCAAACAGUCUAUUUUGUAGAUACUCAUUCAAAGAUCAUCUCUACAAAAAAUCACUUGAAUCCGAUAUCAGUUGACCACUCAAUUGAGUUAUUGAAAUUUUAGUACUUUUUUGAAGCACCGUGUUCAUUGAUUUUGUAAGACACAAUUGGAUGUCGAAACGGUUUCCGAUUUGUCUAAUUUUUUGUAAGGAUAAUCUAUGAAUGAAGACCUAAAAAAUAGAUGAUUUGGAUCAUUGGAAAAAAAAAUUGUAAGGUACCCUAAAGGGCGUUCCUCAAAUAAUUUGAGGGAUCCCUCAAUAGAAGGGGAUAUAUAUAUAUUUAUAUAUUAGGAGUCUAAACCAGCGGUUUUAGUAUUUCCUCUUCAGCAAUUGGUGGGCUAUGCUUGUGUACUAGUUCUCCAAUAUCGAAUGUGUGAGGUUGAUUAUGGUAUAGGGCAGAAACAAACAUACCUUACAAGUGAAAUCACAUAGUACUAAACUGGAAUUGAAGUUCUUUUCUCUUUUUCCCCCCCUUUGGGAAGGAUAAUCUCUUUAAAUUGUACGCAGAUGUGUACAAAAUGAGUGGUUUUUGUAUUGUCUAAAACUGAGAAGGGAAAUAUUUUUGCCUAUCUUUUUGGCUCCUUUUUGUGUUUUCUUAUUUGUCGAGGAUAAUAGAAGGGUUGGUUAGAUGAGCAUCGAUCCACGACAAUGUCAACUUAGGCGGUGACCUCUUAGUUGGAAUCGAGAGUCCCUUUUUUGUUUUGGUUAGAAUGAAAACAAAGUCUGCAGUCGAUAUAUACCUUUAACUAAGUUUCCCUUGUUUUUCUUUCUUUGCAUUUGUUUUUCUUCCUUACCGACUAAUACGUACAAACAUGCAUAAGACUUUCAAUCUAAAUUUCAAACUUUUCUAGAAGUAGAGAGAGAGAGAUAGUAUAUAUAUAUAUAUUGAGCCAUCACUUGCCAAGUCUAAUGACACACAAGUAGGACACACACAUUAAAUGCAAGCUUGACCUUAAAUUUUUCUUCCCUCUUACACACAAGGGCCGAUUGAGUGAAAAUAAAAAUAAAAAAUUGAUUUAGAGAGACCAAAAUAUUAAAGAAAAUUUGAUAUUUCUCAAAAUUUUCAAUGUCUAAUAUAUUUUUUUAUUAAAUAUAUGUAAUAUAGUUUAUGUAAUUAACUUACUAUAAAUUUAUAUAAACAAAAACCAUAAUUUGCAGGGUAGUACAAAUAUCCACAAAUAAUUAAUACAAAGAUAGAAGCAUAGUAAGCACGUAAGGUUAAUCCAGAUACAUAGAAAGACACAGUACCGAGAACAUCAAGCGCACAAGGUGUAUCUCCACUAAUUAAUAGCCACAUAAUGCCAAAGAAAUUUUUGCAUAAAAGCUACAAGACUGCAUAAGACAGACAUGAACCGCAGUGCGUAAAACUACCAACACAACUGCAACUUUUAAACUCUCGCAAGUAGAACUUAUAAGUAAGUACCUAGACUACAAACAAACACCCAACUUACAAGAAUUGAUGAAAUUAUUACAACUCAAGAAUAUAUAAACACACAACAAGUGAGUAAAAGUUGCUAAGCCACUAAGCCACCUUGUAUGUCUCUAAAUUUGGCAACGAAACCACCAGUGCAUUGCUACUUCAUCGUCACCAAAGAUUCCAAUGAAAGCCAAAUCACAAGGCUGGGUUUUUUUUUUUUUUUGGAGAAAAACUUAGGUUGGUUUUAUUACUAGAGAAUUCGAAUGGCACAAUUGCUUUUCAGGUUCUCCAUCUUAAUUUGUAAUAGAAGUAACACAUUUAAAAGAUUUAUUUUUCUAGCUCUCAUAAAUAUGGAUGAGGUGAAACCAGCCAAAAGUUCCUCAGUCACACGCUAAACUGAAUAUCUUUAAACCUUAUUACUCUAGGUUGGUAAAAGAAUUUUCUCUUUUUAAUUCUUUGGUGCAACUCGAUCUCUUCUUUAUAGUUUUUUGAGAGUCGAUCACUUUUGACAAAGUGCCAAGUUGCCAACUAUGCUCCUAUUUACAUUACAUUGAAUAAAGAAAAAGAUAAUAUAGUGAGGAUAGAAUAGUUAUUAUCAGUUAUUCUAAAAUAAAAUAAAAUAAAACAAACUAAAAUUAUCCAUAUGUUUCUCCCACAAUUUUUUGUCACUAUUUCUUAUUAUCUACUUCUCGAGCAAUAAUUGUCUCACAUACAAAGCAUUCUAGUAAUAGUAAUAUAAGGACUAAUGAACUAAUGCAAAAACAUUAAGGGCCCUUAAUUGAGUUCGGCAAUUCAAAUCCAAAAAUUCAAUUGGCAAAGUACAAUGUGUGUUUAUUUAUUUGGGUUAAAUAUUUUUUUGGUCACUAGAAAAAAAUUCAGCCAAAUUGGUCACUGUGUUUUCCGAAGUAUACAAUUUAUUGACAUUCUGUUAUCUUUCAUUAAUUGCAGUUUUUUUUAAAAAAAAAAAAAUAGGAAUCACCUUCUGUCUUCUUCCUUUAACUCAACAAGUUAUGGUAUAUUGUGCUAUUAGAGUUCAGCAAAUUGGGGGAAAUCUUGGGUUGAAAUCGAAAUCGUGAGGCAUGAGGAAAAUCAAAAGGCCAAACCAAAUUAAAAUGAAAUCAACAACUUACUAAUAUAUUUUGGUGCUCUAUCACAUUGAUUGUGUCUCCUUGUCAUCCGAAGUCACAAUACAAUUCUCACUCAAUCGAUUCAGGCUUCAAUAUAAUACCCAAUUAUUCGUGACCUUAUACCUCAUCAUUUCGAUUUCAACCCAAAAUUUCCCCCCAUCUUUAAAACUCUUAUAGCACAAUAACCUAACUUGUUGAGUUAGCGAGUUAGAGGAAGAAGACUUGAACGUGCUUCUUGGAAAUAUAAAAAUAAAAACUGCACUUAAUGGAAGUUAACGGUAGAUAACAAAAUGUCUAAAUUGUAAACUUAUGGAAAUAUUGUGAUCAAUCUGACUAAAUUUUUUUCUGAAUGACUAAAUUGAAUUUCCGUGUAAUGACCAAAAAGAUAUUUAAUCCUAUUUAUUUUUAUGAAGCAAAACUCUAAUGUUAAUGGAUGAAAGCUUUACACCUUUUAAUUAGCUAAGCACUUUUGAUAAUCCAGUAAAGUAUUUUUCAUAAUGGGUCAAAGUGUUCAGUUAUAUGCAAGCUAGCGUUCGAACUUUACCUUUUUUUACCAUAUAUAUUUAUUAUUACUUCACUAGUUGCUGGAGAACAGACCAACCCUUUUCAUUUUCACUCUCCAGCCGUACAACACUUACCUACCACACGGUUUGACUUGUCCAUGGCCUUCAUGAAAGAUCAAAGUUGAAAAAUCUUUGUGGGAACCCAAAUUCACUGGUUGAAGCAUGCGAGUUCAACUGAUUGGCAUUUCAAAAUCUCAAAGUCACAUUUGGUAGAAAACUUAAAGCAUCAAUCCAGCCAAUUAUGCUGAAUAAGCAAACAUGUCUUAUUCAAAGAUGAUGUCAAAGAUUGCUAUAAAAGGGAUAGCUUUCUCACCAUUUCCAACCACCUCACUCACAAAACAAGUUCUAAGAACUACAAUUUGUGGCAGAAAUGAGAACCUCAGGACAGCUGAGGCAUUGCCCUACAAUGUUUUAUGCCUUGGCAUUGUGCCUCUUGGCCACAAGUGUGCUUGCCACUACGCCUUAUACUUAUUCUUCACCACCUCCACCAAAGCACUUGGAGACCCCUCCAACCCAUUACAAGUCCCCCCCACCACCGAAGUAUGUAAAACAUCCACCACCUCCAUCACCAUCACCCCCGCCACCCUAUUAUAAGUCUCCACCACCGCCUUCUCAUUCGCCGCCUCCUCCUUAUGUGCACAAAUCUCCUCCACCACCCACUCACUCACCACCUCCACCAUAUGCUUACAAGUCACCACCUCCCCCUUCUAAAUCACCACCUCCUCCUUAUGUCCACAAAUCUCCUCCUUAUGUCCACAAGUCACCACCUCCACCAUCAUAUUCUCCUCCACCUCCUUACCACUACAAGUCACCACCACCACCAUCUCCAUCACCUCCCCCUCCAUACCACUACAACUCUCCUCCUCCUCCAGUGAAGUCACCUCCACCUCCCCAAUAUCACUACAAAUCACCUCCACCUCCAAAACACUACUAAGCUUUAUGGGAUUUUAGCGACUUGAACCAGUCCAAAUAAGGUCUUCGUUUCGAUGUUCCAGCGGUAUCACUUCUUUUUCUAGCUUUGUUCUAUUCGCAGACAAGUGUGUUUGUGAAUAAUAAAGGUC